rnacentral:sRNA from 1 species
GAGAAGCUUCGACUAAGGUUCGAUUCGAGCGCAGCGAGAAAGCGUUGCCGCAGGCAACGACCCGAAGGGCGAAGCGCGCAGCGCUGAGUAAUCCUUCCCCCACCACCA